CCUACGGGAGGCAGCAGUGGGGAAUAUUGCACAAUGGGCGCAAGCCUGAUGCAGCCGUGCCGCGUGUGUGAAGAAGGCCUUCGGGUUGUAAAGCACUUUCAGCGGGGAGGAAGGCGUUAAGGUUAAUAACCUUGUCGAUUGACGUUACCCGCAGAAGAAGCACCGGCUAACUCCGUGCCAGCAGCCGCGGUAAUACGGAGGGUGCAAGCGUUAAUCGGAAUUACUGGGCGUAAAGCGCACGCAGGCGGUCUGUCAAGUCGGAUGUGAAAUCCCCGGGCUCAACCUGGGAACUGCAUUCGAAACUGGCAGGCUAGAGUCUUGUAGAGGGGGGUAGAAUUCCAGGUGUAGCGGUGAAAUGCGUAGAGAUCUGGAGGAAUACCGGUGGCGAAGGCGGUCCCCUGGACAAAGACUGACGCUCAGGUGCGAAAGCGUGGGGAGCAAACAGGAUUAGAUACCCGAGUAGUC
rnacentral:rRNA from 1 species